ACGAACGCUGGCGGCGUGCCUAAUACAUGCAAGUAGAACGCUGAAGGAGGAGCUUGCUCUUCUGGAUGAGUUGCGAACGGGUGAGUAACGCGUAGGUAACCUGCCUGGUAGCGGGGGAUAACUAUUGGAAACGAUAGCUAAUACCGCAUAACAGUAGAUGUUGCAUGACAUUUACUUAAAAGGUGCGAUUGCAUCACUACCAGAUGGACCUGCGUUGUAUUAGCUAGUUGGCGGGGUAACGGCUCACCAAGGCGACGAUACAUAGCCGACCUGAGAGGGUGAUCGGCCACACUGGGACUGAGACACGGCCCAGACUCCUACGGGAGGCAGCAGUAGGGAAUCUUCGGCAAUGGACGGAAGUCUGACCGAGCAACGCCGCGUGAGUGAAGAAGGUUUUCGGAUCGUAAAGCUCUGUUGUAAGAGAAGAACGAGUGUGAGAGUGGAAAGUUCACACUGUGACGGUAUCUUACCAGAAAGGGACGGCUAACUACGUG
rnacentral:rRNA from 1 species